UACGUAGGGUGCGAGCGUUAAUCGGAAUUACUGGGCGUAAAGCGUGCGCAGGCGGCUUUGCAAGACAGAUGUGAAAUCCCCGGGCUUAACUUGGGAACUGCAUUUGUGACUGCAUGGCUGGAGUGCGGCAGAGGGGGAUGGAAUUCCGCGUGUAGCAGUGAAAUGCGUAGAUAUGCGGAGGAACACCGAUGGCGAAGGCAAUCCCCUGGGCCUGCACUGACGCUCAUGCACGAAAGCGUGGGGAGCAAACAGG
rnacentral:rRNA from 1 species